AAAAAAAAAAAAAAAGAAAAAGAAAAAGAAAAAGAUAAAGUAGGAGCAUAAACAAAGUGCAAAUGAAGUGCUGAGUCUUUGAGCUUCGAGGGAAGGAAGCGCGAUUCGCAUGUUGCUCGUUUACCUUCUGGAUCUUGUUUGACAGCACUCCCAACGUUGUUGUUUGGAUGACAUAGAAGUGCUGUCGAACAUGAUCCAGAAGGUGCUGUCGAACAACAUACAAAAAGGGGUUUACUUUACGUACCGCCCAUCACGAUCUUCUUCUUCUUCUUCUUCCUGAAAGAGUAUCAAACAUGGGGUUUCUGUUUGUUUCUCUUUUUCUUUUUUAAAGUAGAUUUACAUGUUAACUGUAUUGCUCUAGGAUCUAACAAAGAUUCUAACUUGUGGGUUUUGUUUAUUUAAUUAUCCGCUUUCAUCAGCGCAUGCAAAAAUUAUUACUUUUAAUUCGCAGAUAGCUUCAUCAUUUUCAUUUAUCUUACCUAGUGUUUAUUUUGUUCUUUUAAUCUUUGUCUAAACACUAAAUUUAUUUGUUUAAGUGAAUAAAGACCAUAAAAAAAAUGAUUUCUUUUUAUUUUUUGAGUGGGCAUAUAUUAAAUUGGGGAUGAGGGAAUUUUCUACACGCAGGCUAUACCAGAGAUCAUUGGCGUCUAUUUGUUUGUAGAGGAGCAUGUUUAUGUAUGUAAAUAUGUAAAUAUUGUCUGUGUAUGUAUUUUGCUGAAACGUUUGUGAAUCUGGUUAAAUGCCUUGGAAACUGAAUUCUUUGGAUGUGAAUAUUUUAUUUUGUGUACGUGUGUGUCUGUGGUUUAAAGUGUCAAAGAUGUUUUUUUUUCUCUUUUGAUUUCCCGAUUUCUUUUGCUGUUAUAUCACUGACUGGAAUGAAUUGAGACAGUGAAGAAACUCCUCUUUGUAGAUGUUGUCUCUAUGCAUCAGAAACGAAUGAAAAAUAUAAUUUGAGUAUCUCAUUUAUCCAUCUCUUAAACGUAAGCAUGUUAGUUUCUGGAGGUGUAUGCCUCCAAAUAUUAUUGUAUGGUAAGUGGAUGAGUAGAGAACUCUUUAGCAUGGUAUCCUUUCCUUAUUGACUAGGGAAUCCUAGCAUCUUUUACUUCUUAAGUUUUGUACCUGCAAAAAAGGGAAACACAAAUGAAAAAGAAAGGUGAGAUGUGACACAUAAAUUGUGGUGGGUCUUUUUGUGUUGAUGCUAACCAUGGUGCUUUGGGAAUACUCAUCAAGAAUUGUAGAGGCGUAGUCGUGGAAGCACAAGCAAUUUUCAUGCGGUUGUAGAGGGGUGGUUGUUAACAAAGCUCAGCUAUAACAACUAAAGCCUAUAUAAUUGUUCACGGGGUUCUCAUGGCUGGCAGAUUAGGCAUUAUCCAAUUACUUCAUUGAAUCAGAUAACUAAACACUAGCAUGGGCUAUAGAAGGUUUGCCAGGUCCAUGUUCGUGGAAGGUGCAGACCAUUGUUUCAGAUAUGCAAAUCGUGCUUGCUUUUUUCCAUUGUUGCUGAUUUGGAUUGCUAAGAAGUCUUUACGGGGUCUCCUUCCUUUAGAUUGUUUUUAUGAUUUUCCUUAUUAUUUUCCAUGUAUUCCAUAUAAUGAUGUUUUAUCUCAUGGAGAUGCUUAAUUUAAUUGCUUCAAUCUUUCGUCUUGAUGUCCAAAAAACCAACUCCACGUAUUUUGGUCAAAUUGACUUGUCAAUUUGUAAUUAGCAAUUGGACCAGUUGGGUCCCACUCCAAAGAUAUUCUCCCUUUUCCUUUCUUUUCCUCGGACCGGAGUCCACAAUGUGGGUCUUCAAUUAGCAACUUAGAGCCGGUUCAAUCGCUGGAAUGUAGGUCAGAGUUUCCAGUCUUUCCCGGUGGAUAUCCGACUGACAUUGACAAGCAAAGACAAUGGAAGUGAUUCUCACAGGUACCUGAAAUUUCAUUUGCCUCUGCACUCCUUACCUCUUUCAAGUUAGGAUUAAUCUCAACUGAUUAAGAUGAGAGUGAUGUUGAAGAAACUGCGGAUCAGGAGGGUGCUGUCAAGGAAGAUCAUCCGGAACCGGAGGGAACAAAUUGGUCCCGUCAUGGGUCAGAUUUCCCAAACUGAUGGCCGUAUUCACGAUAUUCUUCUGUUCCAUUUUAGGUGUUGGGAUCAAAUUUGAAGUGUAAGAUGGAAGAGGUGAAUAACAUCUGGAGGUUGGUGUGGAACACCAUCCUCUGAGGGAGCGCAUCUACAUAGGGAGGCAUCACCAUCGCGGUUUCCUUCUUCUUUUCCUCAAUUUAUUCUUUUGAAGACUAUUAAAUAUGGGAUACAUGUAACUAUCCAUGUCGGUCAUAGGAUUAACCCAAGGAUUCUCACAUGUGGGUUUUGUUUAUUUAAUUGUGUGCUUUGAAUUUUGCACUCAUUUUCGUUUAUCUAAUAAAGUGAUCUGUUUUAUCUGUCUAUGGGUGUUUGUGUAUUUCUAUGGGAUUUAUGCUGCUUUGAAAAUGUGAUUAUUUCUUUGUUUUUACAAAUCUAAUAGGAGUUUCCUUUUGAAAGGAUUUAUAUCUAGUUACCAAAUUUUACAAAAAAAAGCAUGAAAUAUUUUUCCUCCUCCUCUUUGAACUGACAGAUUUCUUUGUGCAUUGAACAUUGUAAGCAAUGUUGGAGUAACUGAAAUAGAAUUUAAAUUGAUUUCUUAUGAAUCUUUAUGAGGUCAGAGAUGGAAUGAUAAUGGCAUGAAACCCAUGAGAAAUAAUAACUUAUAAAAUCACGAAUUCAUGUAUUUUCACCGCUUGGGAAGCUUUGGUCCAACCCUUCAAUGAUACAUCUAGCAAUUUACCAGGUUGGUGAAAGGAUUUUUAAAUUUUGUAAAGCUUUAUGGUGUUAAUCUGAAGCAAACUUGACGGUUCUUGGGUAAUAUAAGGCAAAUUGUAUGAUAGUUCUUUGCUUACUACUAAAAUAAUCAUUUUCAUUGCAAAGGUUGGAGAUUAAAUGAAAUAAGUACAAUUCAGUUUUUCUUGAAUGAGAGAGCUGGUACUCAAAUACCUUUUAAUAUGGCUGCCAAAACAUUUUCACUUUAUGGCUGGUUGAUUUGCUUUAUGGUUCCAAUACUUCAGGUAGACCUGUUAUGUUCUUGGGAAGUCGUGCAUCGUCAUGAGUUAACUUUAGAUUUCCUUGUCAGGUGAGCUGUUUAUUCUAAUCUCUCUCUCUCUUUCUCCAGUUCUACUUUCUAAUCGCUGGAGCUGUGGAACAAUCUGGAGGGUGCUCUGGAACAUGACCUGGAGGGUGUUGUCGAAUAAGAUCCAGAGGAAGGAACUGGAGCCUGUGGAUCACAUCUACACGUGGAGGCACAUCUAUAGUUAUGCCCAUCAUGCCCAUGGAUAUAUGUAGGUGGAGGAGGCAAAGACCGAAUUAUAUUCAGCUCGUCUGCAUCCUGUCCUUCAGAAAGUACUUGUGCAAUAAGUAGUGACCAUUCAAUGCUUGAUCGCGUGGUCUGCACCAGCAUAGAUAAUUUUCUUUCUGGUGGAGAACUCUAUCGGUUUGAAUAUGGUGUUAGUCUAGCUCUCCUUGUCGCCAAAACACAAGGUGGUACCUGUACCCUUGCUCCUGGCACUCCACUUCUAGUUGUGGAGGACCGUUUGGCAGACCACCUCGAGAGAGGCUUUUGGGGACUACCACCUUUUCAAAAACAACUGUGAAAACUUUGCAAUAUAUUGCAAACCAGACUUUCAAGUUGCGGUUUUACAAUUUUAGUGUUGGCAGAAGUGGAUGGGCAGUAUCCUUCGCGGUUGGCAUUACUGCUCACAUUUGUUCUACAAUUCAAUCCUCGGCCAUUAUAAAUACUGUUCUGCAUGCCAUUCUGCAUUUUACUAUCGGUUAUGGCAUUUACUCUGCGUACAGAUGGGCUUCUGAUAUUGGAGUUCGUCCUAAUGUUGGUAAAGAUGCAGAUGAGGGAUUGGCUGAAGAAGAGUCCUGGCUGUUAUGGAAACAUGGUCAGUAGUAAAUUCAGGUCAACAUUACUGCCUGAAAUGGCUCGUUUGGAAUGUUUUGGUAGUAGCAGUGUGGUGGAUUUGUUGUUAUGAAUUGCAGUGGACCAUAGAGUACGUAAGUUUUCUUCUUGGUUGGAUGGUUCUGACUGGUACAGCCUGGGUGGCGUUAUUUGUUCCCAUUGAUUCGGCCGCAAAAGAAAAUAAAGAAAACAGUUCCUAUUUUUUAUCUGUCUAAGCACUUGAGGAUCGUUUUAUAUGUCUUGCGACCUUGAGGCUUUGGCUUCGCAAGCAAAACACGGCUUCUAGUGUUGGAUAACAUUAACUGCUAUUUCAUUUUGUUUUAUUUCUGUUUUUGGGCGUAGUUUGCCUGCAAUUUGUCAUCCGUGCUAAUGAUCACCAGUGGCAUGUUGCUGGCCCGCCUAUUAUUUAUUGGUUGACUUUAAUUAUGUAAUGAUUUUAAAAAAUUAAUUUGAAAAAGUGAAUUUUUUUUAGUAA